UGGGGAAUAUUGGACAAUGGGCGAAAGCCUGAUCCAGCCAUGCCGCGUGUGUGAAGAAGGUCUUCGGAUUGUAAAGCACUUUAAGUUGGGAGGAAGGGCAUUAACCUAAUACGUUAGUGUUUUAACGUUACCGACAGAAUAAGCACCGGCUAACUCUGUGCCAGCAGCCGCGGUAAUACAGAGGGUGCAAGAGUUAAUCGGAAUUACUGGGCGUAAAGCGCGCGUAGGUGGUUUGUUAAGUUGGAUGUGAAAUCCCCGGGCUCAACCUGGGAACUGCAUUCAAAACUGACUGACUAGAGUAUGGUAGAGGGUGGUGGAAUUUCCUGUGUAGCGGUGAAAUGCGUAGAUAUAGGAAGGAACACCAGUGGCGAAGGCGACCACCUGGACUAAUACUGACACUGAGGUGCGAAAGCGUGGGGAGCAAACA
rnacentral:rRNA from 1 species